rnacentral:lncRNA from 10 species
CUCGAUCCAGGGGCCGCCAAGCGGCGGGGCGGGCACUCUUCCGGCAUCCGCCGCCGCCCCCUUGCCACCACCUACCAAGCCCCUGCAGCCUAGAAACCCGCCACCCGAGAGGCACUACUGCUCAGCCCAGACAGUAGCCGCCGCCGCUGCCGCCGCUGCCGCCGUUGCCGCCGCUGGCUAAGGAAGAGCCAUAUUACCGCAGUGCAACCCCUCCACCCCGCUGAGACCCGGAGCGCUCAUUGGCUUAGCCCUCAAGGGGGCGGGACCCAACGGCAGAAAAGGGGCGUGCUAUUGGGUAGAACCACUUCCGCCCUCACUGGUUGCCGUGGUAACAGGCCUCCGGUGGAGGGCGGGGACCCUCGGAAGCCAGCUGGGUGGCGAUCGCUUGUCUGCCUUGGCAGGCCCCUUGUGCAGUCUUUUCCCGGCGUGAGCGUGCAGGGAUUGAAAAGGAAUGCUUUAUGGUUCAGCAGAGAGCCACCACGCAGGAUGCACUGGGACCUGAGAACCGUCGGGCAGUCCCACGAGCUCUUUCAUGACCAGCUCCAACCGACAAGUACACGCCCCUUCGCACUCCACUAGCUAGUAAGCUGAGCUACAAGGUGUGCCAGGCACCCAGGACGCCGAUUCACCGCUUCAGUGAAGGCCCAGCUCAAAUGCCACCUCUUCCAUGAAGACUUCCGUGAUCCACAAUGAUAGCAUCUCCAGCAAUUGCUUCUAUAAUGAAUAGCAUGAGUCAUUCUGCAGGAUGUUGAUCUUCCUUUUUUUACUCCUAGACUGAAUUUUUCCACCACCUGGAUGAACAUAGCAGAAAGAACAUAGUGUUUUAGAGUCAGACACAAUAGGAAUCAGGCACUUUGGAAUCUUGGCUCUACCACCUUUGAGCUAUGUAUCCCAAGGCAAGUCACUUCCCCUCUCUCAGCUUUAAAAUAGUAAUAGGAUUGCUGUAGGGAUUAAAGUAAAUCAACAUAUGUAAAGUGCCCACACGAGCCCUCUUUCUUCCAUUCACUUACCUGUCUAGUCAAACACCCAUCAGACCUUUGCCAGGUGUCCAGCCUGGGCACUACGUUUCAGAAAAUGAUGCACAUAGAAUCCCUAACUGAAAGGAGAUCGCAGCUCAUUUGGUACAAAGUGGCUGAUUCUUUGACUGGUGAGCCACUCCCCAGGCAGGCAUAGCAUCACAGAGUUUCUGAGAAGGUACACCCUGGAUGCAAAGCAGUGUUGCUGAAAGACUCGGUAACGGCAGAGUCCCAAAACACAUGAAGCAAGAACUGACAGAACUGGAGGGAGACAUCAAUCAAUAACAACAGUUGGAGAAUUCAAUACCCUGCUCUGAAUAAUGGAUAGAACAAUUAGGCAGAAGACCAACAAAGAAAGAGGAUAUUUGAACAACGUGAUAAGCCAAUUUGACCUAAUAAAUAUCUUUAUCUGUGAAACACCCUAGCUUUUAGCCUGGGUAAGGAGCUGGAGAGAUGUGAAAAUGUGGAAAGCAAGCCUAAGUCGCAGUGUGGCCUAUGCCUGAGAGCCAUC